ACGGGUUAGCUCAUCAGAUGAGGUGACCAAGGCCAAAGGCAGGCCUCAGCUUGUAGAGCAAAGAGAGGGAGAAAAACAGGGCGCAGUGUUCUGCUUCCUGUUUAUGAACAAGCAUAGAGAAGCCGGACUUGGCUCAGCCGUGGCCCACCCUCAAGAUCAGACACCAGCUCUGUGCAUUACGCGGUUUUUUAUUCUUUUUUUGGUGUGCCCCCAAGGUCCGGUUUCUUUGUACGUAGCCCUCAAACAAACAAUAACAAUAAAAACCCAAACCAAGUCAUUCUUCAAAUUUUUCCAAAAUUAGAAACGUGUAGAUCCCAGGCUGGGUCCUGUGUGAGCUGAGGCUCGCUGAUUCCAGACGAUCUACCCUUGUUCCUAAACGGGAUGUAGUUUUCUCUGCUUUCCGAGCUGAAGCCUGACCUUAGCCAGUAAAAUCAAAUACGUAAAUAUCAAAUACGGCUAGUAUUUUUUGCAAAGGCUGACUCUACAGAGUUUAGACUGCCUUCAUAUUUAUUCAGAUACUUUAUGCUAGAAUAGCAGGGAACCAGGCUUAAGGCCUGAUACUUAUGAUCUUGGGCGUGGGCUAUUGCUGUGGGCUUGACGGAGGUCUUAGCGAUUGCAACCCCAGGCAGGCACCCUCAGGAGCCACCCAGUCGACUCCCUGAGGUUUCCUAGCAACCCUGGAGAGACUUCAAAUCCCAUCUCAAUUCUAUUCCACCAUCACACACAUCACACACAUCACACAUAUCACACACACACACACACCCACAC
rnacentral:lncRNA from 1 species